UGCGUAUCCCCCAAAAGUAUAUCCCCACUACUUCGACAUGUUCGAAUCUGAUUCUGAAUGCUUCCAUUCUAUUCGGAGUCAUUCUGAGCUUUUCGAUUCGAACUCUAUCUGUCAAAUCAAAACAUUGCAAUAUAGAAUAAAAAAAGAAACGAGAAACAAAUCAUUGUAUAUUUAUUCCUAUAUCUGUUUCUACAUGAAGACCUUAGAGGAUAUAAUAUAUGGAGUGCUUGUGCUAGUAGUUCGUUGAGCUUUUAUAGAGGGCUCUAGUUUCUUUAAGUUUUUCGAUGAGUGCAUGACUCCAUUUUAUUUUCAUUUGAUGGCUGUCAUCAACAAGCGUGUUUAUUUAAAGCUGCGGAACCGGACUCGCACUGAAAAACGAAGGCAGUGACCCCUAUCCAUGCAUAUGGCGUUACAAUGUAUUAGGUAUAGGAACAUGCACUCCAUACAUUAUCCUCUAAGAUGAAGACGCAAGGCGCAGAAAUUAUCUUCGUAUUUCCUUUUGAUUUUCCCUUCGGUGCGCCACGCGCUUCUACACGUAGUAUUUUUUAUAAGACGCAAAUUUGACAUCUUUUUUUUUUAUUUUAUCUUGUUCUCGUUUUCGUAUAUAUUUUUAUUUGAAAAAAAGCACCAAAAUAUACAAAAAACAACAUCAGGGGACUCUAUGUGCAACGAAAACAUUUAAAAAGAUUUAUAGAAGUUGCUAUGCACCCAAACAAUAUACAUCCGACGAAGCGAACUCUGCUUCCGACGAAAUCAAUUAAAGCAAAACAGCAAAAAAAAAGAACAAGAUCAAAGAGAAACGUCAAAGUGAGUCUCAAAAUUUUCGACCCGAGACUCACAGGGUAAAAAAUCUUCCACCCCUCUUUUUCGAACUUUCUUUCUCCCUUACUCUUCAUUGAAUCUUGACUUUUACGUCUUCGUGUAGAAGCAGACUAUAGUACUCUCAUGAAGUAGAAUUUUCUGUUUUGCGUGGCCACCGGUGGGAUCGCUAGCUUAUUUUAUAUUUGAGUUUUCCCCAGCAUAUCGCAUAGCACCAUUACCAACAACACACAGCAGGACAACCUACGCCGCUGCCACAGAACCUACUCGACGGUUGAGUUCGGGCAAAUUCGACCCAUGACGAAUAUGGAUUUGUAUUUUUAUGUCUAUGAAUAAUAUAGAUACAGGUUGGUUGCAAAAACAAUAAAAAAAUUACUACUCGGGAUAUAUAUGUCUUCUGGUAUCUCGGGUGUUGGAGUUUAUAGAUUUAUUUUUAUUGAAAUGUUAUAUUGAUGCGGAGGCUGCGUUACAUGAACUACGAAAAUGGUACAUGGAAUCAAAUUUCCGGUGUAAAAGUCUCUGUUUUGCAAAAAAAAACUCAAAUUCGAAAAUAUUCAAGCCCAAUCACUCGGCGAAACAAAGAACACGAAAGAAUUUUGGAAACUGGUGAGGACUAUUAAUGGUUCUCAUUAAAUAAUAGGCCACAGGUGUAUCAGCCGACGAUCUUUUCACUCAUUUGUUUGUUCACUAUAUUUAUAUGUUCUUUCAUAAAAAAAUAACAUGUACUAAGAA